AUACCUAUUAAGUGGGAGUUAAUUGAGGAAUUAACAUAAGGUUUAAUUAAUCUAAACCUAAGUGCAAUUAUAAAACCUAUUAUUUCCCUUCUCUUUUCAUCCGCCCGAACCCUUCCUCCCUCUCCUCUCAUCGCGCCGCACACCUUCGCCCUCCUCUGCGCGCCAUCGGCCGACCAAGCCAGUGCUGGUCCUCAUUUCCGACGAGCCACAGCCGUAGAGCCACCAGUGCCUAUUCCCCUCUUAUUUGCACCGACGCUCCUCUUCUCCAUCGCGACACCGCGCGGUCCGACGACGCCGCCCCCACCGCGCCACCUGAUGGCCGACGUCAACCUCCACCUCACGAGCAUCGUCGGCCGGUUGAGAACGGGCCCAAGCAUCAGCACUGAUCUAUCAUCGUCUCCUUCGUGUUGUGCCCUAGUCGCCGUGCUCUAGUGCCGUUGAUACCAUCUCCACCCGACGCCGGCCUUUUUCCUCUCCUGAUCCAUCGUCGCCGGUACUUAAGGGCCACUCGACGUCGUCACCUCUUCAUGUGAGGUCAGAUCGAACACCACAACCACUGCAAACCCCUCAUCUAUAGCAUCACCAAAGGUUCUCUUCGGAUUACUGCUCUGCACGAGUUAUUCUUCGGCCAAAGGGAGGGUCCGAGACCUAGAUUUGGCCAAGGUUGUGGUGAUUAGCUUUCUGAUGGUUGCCUCUUCAGUCCGUGCCCUGAAAAUCGAGCGACUGCCGAUGAGCCUUUUUCUGUCGACCUCAACAGCCCCUUGCGGUGACUUUGCUUGGGAAAGGAACUACCGACACAUAGUGGCCCUUGCAAUGUUGGCAACUGAAUUCCAGUGGUAGAGAUCCGACAACCAUCCUUCUUGGUAGAGCUCCGACAGCUAUGGUGUAUUGGGUUAAACAAGGACUUUGAUUCGAGACGAGCGUCUCGAUGUGGGAGUUACGAUGUGGGAGUUACAUUGGCAUGAUCUACAUUUAAGGCGGG